rnacentral:rRNA from 1 species
UGGGGAAUAUUGGACAAUGGGCGAAAGCCUGAUCCAGCAAUGCCGCGUGAGUGAUGAAGGCCUUAGGGUUGUAAAGCUCUUUUACCAGGGAUGAUAAUGACAGUACCUGGAGAAUAAGCUCCGGCUAACUCCGUGCCAGCAGCCGCGGUAAUACGGAGGGAGCUAGCGUUGUUCGGAAUUACUGGGCGUAAAGAGUACGUAGGCGGUGAUUCAAGUCAGAGGUGAAAGCCUGGAGCUCAACUCCAGAACUGCCUUUGAAACUAGAUCGCUAGAAUCAUGGAGAGGUUAGUGGAAUUCCGAGUGUAGAGGUGAAAUUCGUAGAUAUUCGGAAGAACACCAGUGGCGAAGGCGACUUGCUGGACUUAUGGUGACGCUGAGACGCGAAAGCGUGGGGAGCGAAACAGGAUUAGAUACCCUGGUAGUCCCUGAGCGGGCUGGCAAGGCGCAU